rnacentral:rRNA from 1 species
GAUGGACGCUGGCGGCGUGCCUAAUACAUGCAAGUCGAGCGAACGGACGAGAAGCUUGCUUCUCUGAUGUUAGCGGCGGACGGGUGAGUAACACGUGGAUAACCUACCUAUAAGACUGGGAUAACUUCGGGAAACCGGAGCUAAUACCGGAUAAUAUUUUGAACCGCAUGGUUCAAAAGUGAAAGACGGUCUUGCUGUCACUUAUGGAUGGAUCCGCGCUGCAUUAGCUAGUUGGUAAGGUAACGGCUUACCAAGGCAACGAUGCAUAGCCGACCUGAGAGGGUGAUCGGCCCCACUGGAACUGAGACACGGUCCAGACUCCUACGGGAGGCAGCAGUAGGGAAUCUUCCGCAAUGGGCGAAAGCCUGACGGAGCAACGCCGCGUGAGUGAUGAAGGUCUUCGGAUCGUAAAACUCUGUUAUUAGGGAAGAACAUAUGUGUAAGUAACUGUGCACAUCUUGACGGUACCUAAUCAGAAAGCCACGGCUAACUACGUG